rnacentral:rRNA from 2 species
CUCAGGACGAACGCUGGCGGCGUGCCUAAUACAUGCAAGUCGAGCGAAUCGAUGGGAGCUUGCUCCCUGAGAUUAGCGGCGGACGGGUGAGUAACACGUGGGCAACCUGCCUAUAAGACUGGGAUAACUUCGGGAAACCGGAGCUAAUACCGGAUACGUUCUUUUCUCGCAUGAGAGAAGAUGGAAAGACGGUUUACGCUGUCACUUAUAGAUGGGCCCGCGGCGCAUUAGCUAGUUGGUGAGGUAAUGGCUCACCAAGGCGACGAUGCGUAGCCGACCUGAGAGGGUGAUCGGCCACACUGGGACUGAGACACGGCCCAGACUCCUACGGGAGGCAGCAGUAGGGAAUCUUCCGCAAUGGACGAAAGUCUGACGGAGCAACGCCGCGUGAACGAAGAAGGCCUUCGGGUCGUAAAGUUCUGUUGUUAGGGAAGAACAAGUACCAGAGUAACUGCUGGUACCUUGACGGUACCUAACCAGAAAGCCACGGCUAACUACGUGCCAGC